CGGACGGGUGAGUAACGCGUAGGAAACCGCCCAGCAGCGGGGGACAACACGAAGAGACACGAGCUAAUACCGCAUACGCUUUACGGGGGAGAGAGGGCCACCACCCGAAAGCCGUCACUGUUGGAUGAGCUUGCGUUAGAUUAGCUUGUUGGUGAGGUAAUGGCUCACCAAGGCGACGAUCUAUAGCUGGUCUGAGAGGAUGACCAGCCACACUGGGACUGAGACACGGCCCAGACUCCUACGGGAGGCAGCAGUGGGGAAUAUUUGGACAAUGGGGGCAACCCUGAUCCAGCAAUGCCGCGUGUGUGAAGAAGGCCUUUAGGGUUUGUAAAGCACUUUUCAAUUUGGGAAGAAAAGCAUUUCGGUUUAAUACCCGGGGUGUCUUUGACGGUACCAUUUACAAGAAAGCACCGGCUAACUCCCGUGCCAGCAGCCCGCGGUAAUAACGGGAGGGUGCAAGCGGUUAAUCGGGAAUUACUGGGGCGUAAAAGCGCACCCCAGGGCGGUUUUGUUAAGUCAGAAUGUUGAAAAGCCCCGGGCCUCAACCCUGGGAGACUGCAUUUUGAUACUGGGCAGACUAGAGUUAUGGUAGGAGAAGAGAAGUGGGAAUUCCCCAUUGUAGCGGGUGAAAUGCGGUAAAGAAUGUUGGGAAGGAACCAUCAAUGGGCGAAAGGCGACUUCUUGGACCCAAUUACUGACCGCUCAGGUGCGAAAGCGUUGGGGGAGCAAACAGGAUUAGAUACCCUGG
rnacentral:rRNA from 1 species